CAGGGAAUCUUGCCCAAUGGGCGAAAGCCUGAGGCAGUGACGCCGCGUGCGGGAUGAAGGCCCUCGGGUUGUAAACCGCUUUCAGCAGGAACGAAACUGACGGUACCUGCAGAAGAAGCCCCGGCCAACUACGUGCCAGCAGCCGCGGUAAGACGUAGGGGGCGAGCGUUGUCCGGAUUUAUUGGGCGUAAAGGGCGAGUAGGCGGCUUGAUAAGUCGGGUGUGAAACCUCCAGGCUCAACCUGGAGACGCCGCUCGAUACUGUCAUGGCUAGAGUCCGGUAGGGGACCAUGGAAUACCUGGUGUAGCGGUGAAAUGCGCAGAUAUCAGGUGGAACACCAGUGGCGAAGGCGGUGGUCUGGGCCGGAACUGACGCUGAAUCGCGAAAGCGUGGGUAGCAAACAGG
rnacentral:rRNA from 1 species